rnacentral:lncRNA from 1 species
GGAGAUUCACAUUGUCUUCAAACCCAUGUUUUAAAUAUUUUUCACUUUUCCUAGGAAAGGGCCUGGGGCCCAGAGAGCUUGCAUAUUUAGUCAGACCUAGAAGAUGUGCUCCUGAACAAGCCGAAAAGACAGUCAGAAGGACAAGAGGAAGCAUAGGCAACAAGGAUUAAAUCGACAGACUGGAUUUCAUGAAAAUGGGAAUUUUGUGACUCCGAAGACCAUCAAUUGAGCAAAAAGGCAACCCACUGGUGAGGAGGAAAUAUUUGCAAAUGAUAUAGCUGGGAAUAAAGAACUUCUAAAACAAAAAACCUAAAGAGCCUAAUUUAAAAAUGGUCCAAGGCCUUACAUAGAAAUCUCUUCCAAGAAGUUAUAAAAAUGGCCAAUAAGUGUAUAAAAUACGUUCAGCAUCGAUAAUGGUUAGGGAAGUGUCAUCAAAUAAGCAAAAUAAGCCAAACCCCCAAAACCAAAGGCCAAAUGUUUUCUCCAAGAAGCAGAUGCUGAUCCAUAUGGGGCGGGGGAUAAGGGAAGAAUGAAGGAACUUUGGAUUGUGCAGAGGGGAAUGAGGGGAGGGG